rnacentral:lncRNA from 1 species
AUGGCUGGGAGAGAGGAGGAAUAUACUGCAAUAGCUGAUGCUGCACAGUCGCUAAUAUCAUUGAUUUCGAGAAGACAGCAACAACCCGAAGGCAGUGGUCAAGGAGGAAGAGGGCAACCACCUCGAAGGUUGCAGUCAGAUGGACACAACACCCCAAGUACAUCAGUUGGAACAAGUCAGCUACCGACGAUCCAAAAUGAAAUGCAGAGGUCAUUUCCAGGUUAUUUUCGUCGUGAAAUGAUUCGCUCCAAGAAACGCCCUGCUGCUCUAUCCAAAAUAUCUCCAGCGAUAGCCAUAAAAUAUGUCAGGCUUCAGUUUUUGUUGCUGUCUAGUCCGACUGAUCGCACACCAAAGCCAUCUGAAGAAAUCAAACUCCUCGAGGCAGGCUUGGGGAAAAGAACCAUGACAGUGGCUGAUAACUCUUGCCAUGAGGAGAUUGUCUGUCAACUUGAAGAGCAGUACCCCAAGUUGAAGCAGUUGUCCGGAGGCUGGCUAUGUUAUAAAUCAACAGGUCAGUUAUAG